CAUCCAAGGUAAUAUUAAUGUUUGUUUUAGAAAUUUGCAACUUAACAAAACACGAAGGAAAUUGAGUGUAACUUGUUAUUUGUACUAGUAAGGAAAUAGUUACUACUAGUAUGGAGCAAUAAUUGACCUCUGUUGAGGUUAUUUUUUAUUGCAGAUACAUCUUCCAGUAAAUUAUGUGCAGCAGCUUCUUCAAAACCAGACUCCUCGUUCAACUAUGCAGCUAUUUUUGCAUAUUCUUCAUAUUGUAUAAUUCACGAAUUGCUUUCCUAAAAAACAUAUGAAACAAACUCAACUCAAUGUUAUUACGAUAUUUACAUGAAAAAUAAAUAAUGUAUUAUUUUU